ensembl:lncRNA
GAAAUCUUUAAUUACAAAAUAAAUGAAUACAUCAGAAACAUUACAAGCAAUCCAAAGUUAUGAUAAAAUGUCAUUUAGGUAAGGGAAUAAAACUGUGAGUAGGUCAUGCUGUUCAACAGGAAAUACAAUCAAGUCAACCUGAACAAUCAACAGCAUCUAAAAUAUAUAAUCUACAACAAUUGUACAUUUUUUAGCAUUCCAGAUAUCUGUGUUAAUGUGUCACACAGAAACGACACAUGCUCGUUUCAAUGAUAAUCAAUCAAAGUACAACCCUGUUUCCAAAAAGGUUGGGAUGCUGUGUAAUAUGUUAGGAAUAACAGAAUGCAAAUCAUUUAAACCGUAUAUUAAAUUGAAAAUAGUACAAAGACAACAAAUUUGAUGCCUGCAACACAUUUCAAAAAAGCUGGGACAGGGGCAACAAAAGACUGGACAAUUUAUGUAAUGCUGAAAAACUAAACCUGGUUGAAUAUCACACAACUAAUUAGGUAAAUUGGUAACAGGUCAGUAACAUGAUUGGAUAUUAAAAGAUCAUUCCAGAGAGUAUGGGUCUGUCAGAAGUGAGAAUGGGGAAGGGUUCACAGUCUGUGAAAGACUGCACCGGCAAACAGAGCAACAAUUUAAGAAUAACAUUUCUCAACGUAAAAUUAAUAAGAGUUUGAGGAUCUCUUAAUCUACGGUACAUAAUAUUAUUAAAAGAUUCAAAGAAUCCAGAGAAAUCUCUGUAAGCAAGGAACAAGGCCAAAAACCAAUAUUACCUUUCUUAUUCCAGCAACAACAAUGCAAAACCACAUUCUGCACAUAUCACAAAAGCAUGGCUCCAUAGUAAAAUGGUGCUAAACUGGCCUGCCUGCAGUCCAGACCUGUCACCCACUGAAAAAUAAAUCUGCAAUAUGAAAUAGAAAAUAUGACAAAGGAGACCCAAACUGUUGUGCAGCUGAAAUCCUAUAACAAGCAAGAAUGGGAAAUAUUUCACUUUCAAAACUACAGCAAUUUGUCUCCUCAGUUUCCAAACGCUUACAGAGUAUUGGUAAAAGAAGAGGAGAUGCAACACAGUGGUAAACAUGCCCCUGUCCCAACUUCUUCAAAACAUAUUGCUGGCAUUAAAUUAAAAAUGGAAUUGAAUGUAUUUUUCAAAAAACAAUAACAAUAACUCAGUUUCAACAUUUUAUAUGUUGUCUUGUCUUUGUACUAUUUUCAAUGAAAUAUAGGGAUAAUAUUGGAUAAUUCUGUUUUUAUUUGCACUUUACAUGGUGACAACUUUUUUGGAAACAGUGUUGUGAGUCAUCAACAUCAAUUCAAACUCUUUGGACUAGCUCAGGUCCCUGUGGUUGUAGUUCAUCACACCACCUUUCAAACGCUCUGAAUAGAGUGUCAUCCUCUGUGUCAUUGAAUAUCUCUGCAAAUAGAGGGAGAUUGCAUUACAAAAAAGUCUGCAUUUCAGCCAAACGGUUGACAAAUACAUUUCUGUCUCCUUACCUGCGUGCCCUAGGCCAAUGGGUAACGGCAUUCGGACAAAUCCACCCGAGUGCUUUAGCCUCUCGGAAAGUGAGUGCUGCACUAGUGCCAUAGUGACGUCCUUGUGCCACAAUGGCAACUCCAGCCCCGCCAUGCAACUUAGAAUCCGCAACUUGUCCUCGUCCGUCAUUAGACCUCUCUCACAGGCCACGUACACCAUGUAGCACAUAUCGAUGUUCACCGCCUCUCCGUGCAGCAAGGACGGGAGCACCUUCUGUAAUUAGAGCAGCACUGUAACCACAUGCAACCCUCUACAGCAGUGGAGUACUGGCCCUCUGCGUUCUGUUUUUAGGCACUUACUAAUGUGAACAGGUGGCAGUAAACCUUACAACCCGCUCACCGGGCACAUACAGCAGUUACAGUCGAAAUACACUCACCUAAAGGAUUAUUAGGAACACCAUCCUAAUACUGUGUUUGACCCCCUUUCGCCUUCAGAACUGCCUUAAUUCUACGUGGCAUUGAUUCAACAAGGUGCUGAAAGCGUUCUUUAGAAAUGUUGGCCCAUAUUGAUAGGAUAGCAUCUUGCGGUUGAUGGAGAUUUGUGGGAUGCACAUCCAGGGCACGAAGCUCCCGUUCCACCACAUCCCAAAGAUGCUCUAUUGGGUUGAGAUCUGGUGACUGUGGGGGCCAUUUCAGUACAGUGAACUCAUUGUCAUGUUCAAGAAACCAAUUUGAAAUGAUUCGAGCUUUGUGACAUGGUGCAUUAUCCUGCUGGAAGUAGCCAUCAGAGGAUGGGUACAUGGUGGUCAUAAAGAGAUGGACAUGGUCAGAAACAAUGCUUAGGUAGGCCGUGGCAUUUAAACGAUGCCCAAUUGGCACUAAGGGGCCCAAAGUGUGCCAAGAAAACAUCCCCCACACCAUUACACCACCACCACCAGCCUGCACAGUGGUAACAAGGCAUGAUGGAUCCAUGUUCUCAUUCUGUUUACGCCAAAUUCUGACUCUACCAUCUGAAUGUCUCAACAGAAAUCGAGACUCGUCAGACCAGGCAACAUUCUUCCAGUCUUCAACUGUCCAAUUUUGGUGUGCUUGUGCAAAUUGUAGCCUCUUUUUCCUAUUUGUAUGGUACCCGGUGGGGUCUUCUGCUGUUGUAGCCCAUCCUCCUCGAGGUUGUGCGUGUUGUGGCUUCACAAAUGCUUUGCUGCAUACCUCGGUUAUUUCAGUCAAAGUUGCUCUUCUAUCAGCAUGAAUCAGUCGGCCCAUUCUCCUCUGACCUCUAGCAUCAACAAGGCAUUUUCUUUCCCAUUUUGACAUUCAGUUUGUAGUUCAGGGGAUUUUCUUGACCAGGACCACACCCCUAAAUGCAUUGAAGCAACUGCCAUGUGAUUGGUUGAUUAGAUAAUUGCAUUAAUGAGAAAUUGAACAAGUGUUCCUAAUAAUCCUUUAGGUGAGUGUAGAUAAUGUGUGAUGAUUUGACAGACAUAGCUAUGUGGCUUUGUGGUCGUUUAAGGUGCGCAAGAACGUAUAUGUUUGUACAAUACCAUUUCCAGCUCUGGGCUGAUAAGGUGACCAAAGUCUACCAGUCUGUCCAAAUCGUCCUCCCAUAGAUUUGGCGCCAGCUCCUCUAACAUGGCUUCUAUGGCCAUGCGUGUGGUCAUGGAGGCAGCGUUUUGGUUGUCCUCCAUUCCGAGGUUACACUGGAACUUGGAGUCCAACAGAAAUCUUCCGUGAGCUUCCAGAAGCUCAAAGAGAGCCCUGUGUUUCAUCAAAGCCAUCUGUAAAGCAGAAACAUCAACAAUAUAUACCAGUUCAUAAAACAGAAUCUAAAGACCUACAGCACCAGUCAAAGGUUUGGACACACUUACCCAUUCACGUGAAUGGGUAAACAAGCAGCAAAAUAUUCUCUAAAGAUAUAAUUAUUUUGCUCUAUACAGUACACUGUGCUAAGUUAAUAUCUUCACAGUCAUAACUUCAUAUCUGUAGCUGUCAGGCAUUGCUACUGUACCUUUAACAUUUCGGCCAGCCCAUUGGAUAUGUGCCUUCGAGAAACAGUUUGAAUGAAAGAGCGAUCCAGGAAAGCGGCCACUGGGGGGACGUAGCCACCCAGCUUAUUUUUGCAGUUGGCAAAGUUCACCCCUGUUUUUGCCCCUACGCUGGCAUCGACAUAUGACAGCAGGGUGGUAGGGACACGGAUAUAGGGGGUGCGCCUCCUGUAGAGGGAAGCCGCCAGGCCCACGAUGUCCAAGCAAACCCCUCCUCCUAUGGCGAUGAUGGGUUCAGUGCGUCUGUCCAGGGAAAACGUGUGGACCUCAUCCAGGAUCUUCAUCACCAACUCCAUGGACUUGUUCUCCUCUGUGGUGGGCAGGGGAAGGAUCCUGUAGAGAACGUUACGGGCCUCAAAGUAGUCGGUGAGCUGGCAGCCGUAGAGUUUGUAGACAGUUUGGUCCAUAACCACGAAACGUCUAAGGGGCUUUGUGCUGGUGCCGUUCCUCAGGGCCUCCAGCUGCUGGGGGUCCCUGAUGUGGCCUAGAAGCAGGGUGUCGUUCCGAGGGUCAAGCAGGCCCAAGGACUCAGUCACCUUGUAGGUGAAUACAACUGGGCUGACAACUGUCCAGGAGGUCCCUUGUCCUGUGGCGCUCUCAUAACUGAAAUUAGAUGUACUAGUCAGUGUUAUUUAUACAGCAAAUUAGAUGUACUAGUCAGAGUUAAAUACACAGAGUCUCCAGAGAACAAAGCCUGGGGGUCAGUGACACUUUCUACUAGAUCGGUUUCUUUGGUGGUAAUCAAACAAUGUGGUAGAACAAGUUUUCAACUGUAAUAAUAAUCAAGGUUUGUGGAAAAGCUCCAAAUUAGCUAUUUUGGGGUAAUGUGAAUGGUGUAGCAUGAAAAUCACUGACUUGCAGUUAGCUGGAUCAUUGCAUGGAUUAGCCCAGGGGUCCCAGAGAGGGCUGUGCAAUUGGCCAGCAUCGUCUGGGUUUGGAGGGUUAGUUAAUUUAAAGAAGAAUCAAUAAAGAAUGUUUUGUGUUGUACAAAAACCAAUUGAUAUCUUGUGAGAUACCUAGAUGUCAUAAAGAAAUUGGAAGAAACUGUCCAGAUGACUGCAAAAUGUAAGUAAAUGUAAGUGACCUUUUAAGGAUCGCUCAUCAGAUGCAGACAGAUUUCUGCUGCUUCUACUGCAUGUUCACAGCAAAUAAUCACUUCCCAGAUGAAUAUCUUUAAACAUUUUCUCAGGUGUAUUCAAACUUAUGUUACUUCAUGAUUUUCAAAAUGAAUGGGUAAAUAUCAUGAAUGUAUCCAAAAAUGUAUUUAGGUAUUUCAGAGCCCUUAGCUUUUUUGUUGAGAAAGUGAGUAUGCAUUGUUAGACUCAGCACUGAAUGCUUGUUAAAAGAUAGUCAUAGAUAUUAAAAGUAAAAUUAGG